rnacentral:rRNA from 1 species
CAGAGGCCUCGAGCGUUAGGCGGAAUCACUGGGCUUAAAGCGUGUGUAGGCGGGCCCGUAAGUGUCUUGUGAAAUCCCACGGCUCAACCGUGGAACCGCUGGGCAUACUGCGGGUCUUGGGCCAACUAGGGGCAGCCGGAACAAGCGGUGGAGCGGUGAAAUGCGUAGAUAUCGCUUGGAACGCCGAAGGUGAAAACAGGCUGCUGGGGUUGCGCCGACGCUGAGACACGAAAGCCAGGGGAGCAAACGGGAUUAGAUACCCCGGUAGUCCUGGCCCUAAACGAUGUCCACUAGAUCGCGGAGCGGUUUGACCCGCCCGCGGUCGGAGCAAAAGUGUUAAGUGGACCGCCUGGGAAGUACGGUCGCAAGGCUA